UAGGUGUCCUGGGGAAGGG
rnacentral:misc_RNA from 1 species